rnacentral:lncRNA from 1 species
GUUGGCCCACUAAUCAGCUAGCAUAAUUAAUGCGCAUUUCUCUUUCUUCAAUAGUCCCAACCCCUCUCUUUCCUUUUUUAUAACUUAGAGAACGAAGAAGAUGGAGCGCGUCACCGCAAGUAAUCUAUAAUCGCGAGUAAAGAAGCAGAGGUAUGAUCUGUUAUUUUCUUCCAACUUCAAGCUUCCCUCUUUCCUCUUCCAGCUUCCUCCUUUCCGAAGUCUAUCGCCGUCCCGCCAUCCAAAUUGAAUCAGGGCUCACCAAUUUGAUGUCUGCAACCCGGUCAAGACCUGGAAUCGGUUUAUGUUUGUGGGAUCGUUGCUUUCUGCCAGGGUUCAGAGGAGGAAGGGAUGGCUUUGCUCCGGUCUUUAGACGGUGAAGGAUUGCGAUGGCCGGAGUAUUGUCGGAACAUGGUGAAGUCGGUGAGAGAUGUUAUGUCGGUCAGAAAUUUCAUGGUGGGAGAGCACAAUUCAGUAAGGAGGGCGAAUAAUUGUGACUCUUGCCGCGAAGAUGGGGUCGGAUUAUUAGCAGCACCGUUGGAAGAUGAAAGGUGGGUGGCGAGGGACGAUGAAAGCUGGAGGAUGGGAAGUCAAAAUAUAGAUGGUCAAUUCGGGUAAAAUGGGGGCAUAUUGGUAACUCCAUGAUUUUAGCCUUCGAGUUGAAGUUAGCCUUAGGAGUCUUGUUACACAAAAAAAUAGAAAAUUACAAUGGAGAAACACAUCAAACAUUUAAAAUAUGGAGGAAAGAAUUAGGGUAAAGAAGAGCUUCAUGUGCCAUCACAUAUACAACUCGAUUAUCCAGACGACGAAUGUGACUAAUAGAAACAACAUACAUUGAUUGGAGAAGGCCCCGACAUUCUGAUAGCUGCGUGGCAGGCGAACAACUUCAACGGAAUCCGAGUGAAGUAAAAUAGGUCAACCUUGAACAAUGAGUGCAAAUAGUAGUGCCCGACGAAUCCCUGGCAGCUCGAGAGUUAGAACAUCAAUCAUUGUUGAAAAAACUUAUUCGAACACAUGAAGCAAAGAUCCCACAACAUCUUGGACCACCAUACUCAUACUCUCGUAACCCCCAGAUUGUGCCUCACGUGGUGGACGAAUAGCAACAUCGGUGAAAAGACGACAUAUAGGGUGGUGAGAGAGAUAGUGAUGAGGCUGACACUAGUGGCCUAGGAGAAAGCUCACUAUCAAAAAGAGUACAUGCAUCCUUCAUAUGGCGUAAAAAGAAUC